UAUUAUUCAGUGAAAAUGGCUUCUGCAGAACUUAUCGAUCAGUGCAAAACAUGUGCGUGUCUGUACGUGGUACGAUUUAGCAAUAUGCAAUGUUUCACAUUCACAAACAAAUACAUGAAUUAAUCUCUUUCCAUUUGUCUGUGAAUGCAGAACCAACGCCGCGCAUAGGAAGACCAUCUGUUUCACAUCCGCUGUCAGAGCACCUCCUCUAUAAACAGCAUUGCUUUUAGGCUAUGUGAUUGGAUAUUUCCCUUUUUUCAGCCCUGAUCUCAUUUCCUGUACAGUGACAAGCUAUAUUUAUUUAUUUAUUUAUCUGCUCGGGCUAGAAAUGUAAGCGACUGGCUUUCGAUGUUACUGUAUAUAACAUAACAGCUGGAUCUCUGGAGACAGACGGAGUGUUUAUGCAGCUGUCAGCUCGCGCCAGUGCACGAAAUGGUUUGCAAAACGUACAUAAGCGUUAUUCUCUGAUAAAAAGCGGCCUGGCUUUGAUGUAGCCCUGACCUACACAAACUCUGCAGAACUGCCUCUCGUGGACGGCUGAAGGCCUGCUGUUGAACUUCUGACUGACAGGAUGUCUAUCACAGACCAUAGCCCCACCACCGGGGUCGUCACAAUUAUUGUAAUACUCAUUGCCAUUGCCGCACUGGGGGCUUUAAUUCUGGGUUGUUGGUGCUACUUGCGGCUGCAGCGCCUCAGUCAGUCUGAAGACGAGGAAAGCAUUGUUGGUGAAGGUGAAACCAAGGAGCCCUUCUUGCUGGUGCAGUAUUCGGCUAAAGGCCCGCGGGUGGAGCACAAGACCAAGCUCACCCCUAAUGGCACCGAGAGCCACACCUAAGUCCUCUCAUCUCCCUUCACAAUGCAUACUGUGUCGUGUUUGUAGACUCUGUCAGUUUUAAAGAGUUUUAAACCUUACAGUGUCAAUCAACAUUGAAAUGAACCUAGUGCAUGCAGUUGUCUAGUUGCUUUGACUUGAUUUUUCCCCGCCCAUGUUGUGGUGGUAGAGCCCUUUUAUAAUGUGAAAUCGAUGACUGUCAGUGUUUUGUGCAGUGCUGUUUGUAAAGCCGUAACUGCGUUCUGAAGCGAAAUCAAAAUGAUUCUUAUUUCUUUGGUGGUGUUUUUACUUUAUUUUAUUUUUUUCAUCCAGAGCUGGCUCUGGGAUUAAGAAAUUCAACAUGAGUUUUAAUGGACUGACUUCAAAACCAUGUCAAGUUUUUCAUCCAGUUCAUUCCAUUUACUUUUAAAAAUAAAGGUUCUUUAUGCAUAUCUGUGGUUCCAUGAAGAACCUCUAACAUCCAUGGAAUUUUUCCAUUACACAAAAUGUUCUUUAUAGUAAAAAAAACAGUUAUUUUAAGAAUUGUUCACUUAUGUUUUUUGGGAAACAAAAACAGUGGCUCUUCUAUGGCAUUGCUGUGAAAACUCCCUUUUUGAACCUUUAUUUUUAAAUGUUGAAUUGCAAUACAAAAGAAACGUUUUUCAUUACAAAUAAGUAUUUCAGGAUACCAUAACUUGCCAAAUUAUGUAAACUGGCUUUUAAAAGCUCUUACAUUAUAUUUAGACAUGUUUAGAAUCAUGGUUUCAUUAGCACUUUUUAUCUUUAAUGUGACAUACAAGUGAUUUUGUAAACUGCGUUUGCUGAUUCUGGUUUAAACCUGCUGGGAAACCACAAUAAGAACGAAAGCCAAUGACUGAGGUCUUUUUAUUAUAUUACUGUGACCCCAGAGGCGUUCGUUUUUCAUGGUUGAGCACAUUUCUGCAUCGCGGGAAAUCAUUUGAAAGUAUAGAUAUUAUUUUUAUAGAUGGCUUAAUGCAUAACUGGAUACUAAAAAAAGUCAUUGUCUCGUGUUUUUAACCUGUUCCUUCAUAGUAUUAUUUUUUGUUUCAUGAAUUCCGAAUGUAUUUGUGAUAUCACAGUGUUUGCUGUUUGUACAUGCAAGAUGAAAGUGAGAGAAAUGAUUUAUUUUUCUACAGUAUUCAUGCAAAUGUUGUCUAUGGGGCAAAAUCAACAGUCAGACAUAUAGGGAAGUAGAUGAUGAAGCCUGAAAUAAGCUAAAAUGAUUUCAUUGAUGUUGCUGAUGUUUUGGGUUCUGUCAUACAUUUGAAGUCGGGAGAUUUUUUUCGUGUGUAUUAUGUACUGUUCAAUAUACAGAAAUAAACAAGGACAGUACAUGCAUGUUAAUUUAAUCUGCAUAUUUGAGAAAAGCAACCUUUCAUGAGUGAAGCACUCAGUAUAUAGCUUGUCACUCCAGCCAGUGUGUCUGUCCAGUGUUUGACUGUACUGAACAAUAAAACCUGUUACUAGGCAAA